CGAUCCCAUCCCGAACUCGGAAGUGAAACGCAGCUGCGCCGAUGGUAGUGUGGCCUAAGCCAUGCGAGAGUAGGUCAUCGCCAGGG
rnacentral:rRNA from 2 species